rnacentral:rRNA from 1 species
CCUACGGGAGGCAGCAGUGGGGAAUAUUGGGCAAUGGGCGCAAGCCUGACCCAGCAACGCCGCGUGAAGGAAGAAGGCUUUCGGGUUGUAAACUUCUUUUCUCAGGGACGAAGAAAGUGACGGUACCUGAGGAAUAAGCCACGGCUAACUACGUGCCAGCAGCCGCGGUAAUACGUAGGUGGCAAGCGUUAUCCGGAUUUACUGGGUGUAAAGGGCGGGUAGGCGGGAAAGCAAGUCAGAUGUGAAAACCAUGGGCUCAACCUGUGGCCUGCAUUUGAAACUGUUUUUCUUGAGUACGGGAGAGGCAGACGGGAGUGCUAGGGUAGCGGUGAAAGGCGGAGAUAUUAGGAGGAACACCAGUGGCGAAGGCGGUCUGCUGGACAGCAACUGACGCGGAGGCGCGAAAGCGGGGGGAGCAAACAGGAUGAGAUACCCCAGUAGUG